GGUCAUUUAGAGGAAGUAAAAGUCGUAACAAGGUCUCCGUUGGUGAACCAGCGGAGGGAUCAUUACCGAGUUUACAACUCCCAAACCCAAUGUGAACGUUACCAAACUGUUGCCUCGGCGGGAUCUCUGCCCCGGGUGCGUCGCAGCCCCGGACCAAGGCGCCCGCCGGAGGACCAACCAAAACUCUUAUUGUAUACCCCCUCGCGGGUUUUUUUAUAAUCUGAGCCUUCUCGGCGCCUCUCGUAGGCGUUUCGAAAAUGAAUCAAAACUUUCAACAACGGAUCUCUUGGUUCUGGCAUCGAUGAAGAACGCAGCGAAAUGCGAUAAGUAAUGUGAAUUGCAGAAUUCAGUGAAUCAUCGAAUCUUUGAACGCACAUUGCGCCCGCCAGUAUUCUGGCGGGCAUGCCUGUCCGAGCGUCAUUUCAACCCUCGAACCCCUCCGGGGGGUCGGCGUUGGGGAUCGGCCCUCCCUUAGCGGGGUGGCCGUCUCCGAAAUACAGUGGCGGUCUCGCCGCAGCCUCUCCUGCGCAGUAGUUUGCACACUCGCAUCGGGAGCGCGGCGCGUCCACAGCCGUUAAACACCCAACUUCUGAAAUGUUGACCUCGGAUCAGGUAGGAAUACCCGCUGAACUUAAGCAUAUCAAUAAGCGGAGGA
rnacentral:rRNA from 3 species